rnacentral:rRNA from 1 species
GACGGGGGGGGGCAAGUGUUCUUCGGAAUGACUGGGCGUAAAGGGCACGUAGGCGGUGAAUCGGGUUGAAAGUGAAAGUCGCCAAAAAGUGGCGGAAUGCUCUCGAAACCAAUUCACUUGAGUGAGACAGAGGAGAGUGGAAUUUCGUGUGUAGGGGUGAAAUUCGUAGAUAGUUCGCAAGAACACCAGUGGCGAAGGCGGCUCACUGGCCCGGUACUGACGCUGAGGCACGGAAAGCGUGGGGAGCAAACAGGG